AUUGAACGCUGGCGGCAGGCCUAACACAUGCAAGUCGAACGGUAACAGGAAGAAGCUUGCUUCUUUGCUGACGAGUGGCGGACGGGUGAGUAAUGUCUGGGAAACUGCCUGAUGGAGGGGGAUAACUACUGGAAACGGUAGCUAAUACCGCAUAACGUCGCAAGACCAAAGAGGGGGACCUUCGGGCCUCUUGCCAUCGGAUGUGCCCAGAUGGGAUUAGCUAGUAGGUGGGGUAACGGCUCACCUAGGCGACGAUCGCUAGCUGGUCUGAGAGGAUGACCGGCCACAGUGGGCCUGAGAUACGGCACAGACUCCUGCGGGAGGCAGCAGUGGGGAAGAUUGCACAAUGGGCGGCAGCCUGAUGCAGCAAAGCAGCGUGCGGGAUGACGGCCAUCGGGUUGUACACCGCUUUCGCCUGUGACGAAGCGUGAGUGACGGUAAUGGGUAAAGAAGCACCGGCUAACUACGUG
rnacentral:rRNA from 1 species